CAAAAACCUGAAACAUUUUUGUAUCUGUUUCAGUAGUAGGCCUACUAUUAACCUACUGCACAGUACAGCUUGGGUUGGCCUGACUGUGAAAGACCAAUAUGAGAUUAAUAAUUUUAGGUCAUUCAGAGUGUAUGUCACUGUUUCUCAUAUAUUUUUUUCACACAGGUUGCCUUUCCUUUGCCACACGGGCCGUUUGGAAAACUUUUGGCAAAAUUAGAGUAUACUCACUUCUCCAGGCACCAACCACUACACCACUGACCAGGACCAACCCUGCUUAGCUUCAAAGGCUCUUCCCAAGAAAAAACCUAUUCCUAUCUCAGCAGGAGUGGUGAAUCAUAAACCCCUGGUCAAUAUCGUUGCACAACACUUUUUACACUUACAGCCAUUCAAUGCUACCUCACAGAAUUGGCCUACAUCACUUGAAGUGGGAUAAGGAACUUCC
ensembl:lncRNA